CUGCUGACCGUGCUGUUUACGUUGUACCUGGGGCACGUCUCUGUGCCCUUCCCCACACGUCUCUGCUGCAGGGCACAACACAGGAGGGGAAAGAGGAAGACUCAUGGCGUGCGCAUCUUUCAGCUACUUCCGGUUCUCCUCAGCAUCCUCCUGGUGUGGGCGGUGUCUGGAAUCCUCACCUACACUGACGUUUUCCCGGCAGACCCCUCCAGUCCCAGGUUCAGCGCCCGGACUGAUGCCAAGUCCAAGUUGAUACAGCGCACACCCUGGUUUUACCUGCCUCAUCCAGGCCAGUUUGGCGUGCCAUCGUUCAACAUAGGACUGUUUGUGGGAUUUAUAGCAUCGUUCCUUGCCUCCAUUAUUGAAUCUGUCAGCGAUUACUUUGCCGCUGCCAAAGCCUGUGAAGUCUCUACUCCUCCGAAACAUGCCGUCGACAGGGGGAUAUUUAUAGAAGGACUCGGGGGACUACUUUCUGGAGCCGUUGGCUUCGGCCUCUCUACGACGUCCUACACGCCGAACAUUGCUGCCAUGACGAUG